rnacentral:rRNA from 1 species
UACGGAGGGAGCUAGCGUUGUUCGGAAAUACUGGGCGUAAAGCGCACGUAGGCGGCGCAGCAAGUCAGGGGUGAAAUCCCGGGGCUCAACCCCGGAACUGCCCUUGGAAACUGCAGUGCUAGAAUUCUGGAGAGGCGAGUGGAAUUCCGAGUGGUAGAGGUGAAAUUCGUAGAUAUUCGGAAAGAACACCAGUGGCGAAGGCGGAACUCGCUGGACAGACAUUGACGCUGAGGUGCGAAAGCGUGGGGAGCAAACAG